rnacentral:miRNA from 1 species
AGUAAUUGUGUAUUUUUUAAAAAAGCUGCCUUGAGCAUGGUUUUACAUACACAUACACAUAGUUAAAACCAUGCUCAAGGCAGCUUUUUUAAAAAAUACACAAUUACAG